rfam:Hordeum vulgare subsp. vulgare, WGS project CAJW01000000 data, contig: morex_contig_101088
UAAGUACUCCCUCCAUCCAAAAAUAUUUGUCGGAUGAAUGGAUGUAUCUAGAUGUAUUUUAGUUCUAGAUAUAUCCAUUUUAAUCUAUUUUUUGCGACAAGUAAUUACGGACGGAGGGAGUAUAAG